rnacentral:antisense_RNA from 1 species
CCUUACUUUUAACCAGCAUGCCAGCUACUGAGAUGACAGACAUUUAGCAGCUAAGAGCAAGGACUCUAUAGCCAGGCAGCAUGAGUUCCAAAAUCCCAGCUCUGCCACUUACAAGCUGUGAGAAUUGG